rnacentral:rRNA from 1 species
GACGAACGCUGGCGGCGUGCUUAACACAUGCAAGUUGAACGGAAAGGCCCUGCUUUUGUUGGGUGCUCGAGUGGCGAACGGGUGAGUAACACGUGAGUAACCUGCCCUUGACUUUGGGAUAACUUCUGGAAACUGGGGCUAAUACCGGAUAGGAGCUCCUGCUGCAUGGUGGGGGUUGGAAAGUUUCGGCGGUUGGGGAUGGACUCGCGGCUUAUCAGCUUGUUGGUGGGGUAGUGGCUUACCAAGGCUUUGACGGGUAGCCGGCCUGAGAGGGUGACCGGCCACAUGGGGACUGAGAGACGGGCCAGACUCCUACGGGAGGCAGCAGUGGGGAAUAUUGCACAAUGGGCGGAAGCCUGAUGCAGCAACGCCGCGUGCGGGAUGACGGCCUUCGGGUUGUAAACCGCUUUCGCCUGUGACGAAGCGUGAGUGACGGUAAUGGGUAAAGAAGCACCGGCUAACUACGUG